rnacentral:rRNA from 1 species
GAUGAACGCUAGCGGCAGGCCUAAUACAUGCAAGUCGAACGGUAAAUAGUUCAGCAAUGGACUAUGAGAGUGACGCACGGGUGCGUAACACGUAUGCAACCUACCCUUUACAGGAGUAUAGCUCGGGGAAACUCGAAUUAACCCUUCAUAGUAUAAUUGGAUGGCAUCAUUUGAUUAUUAAAUCUGCGGAGGUAAAGGAUGGGCAUGCGUCUGAUUAGCUAGUUGGUAGUGUAACGGACUACCAAGGCGAUGAUCAGUAGGGGAACUGAGAGGUUGAUCCCCGACACUGGCACUGAGAUACGGGCCAGACUCCUACGGGAGGCAGCAGUAGGGAAUAUUGGUCAAUGGGUGAGAGCCUGAACCAGCCAUGCCGCGUGCAGGAAGACGGCCUUCUGGGUUGUAACUGCUUUUUGUCAGGGGAUAAAAUUUCCUUGCGAGGAAAAUUGAAGGUACCUGGCGAAUAAGCCACGGCUAACUACGUGCCAGCAGCCGCGGUAAUACGUAGGUGGCGAGCGUUGUCCGGAUUUAUUGGGUUUAAAGGGUGCGUAGGCGGCCUAUUAAGUCAGUGCUGAAAUAUUCCGGCUUAACCGGGAGGGUGGCAUUGAUACUGAUGGGCUAGAGUACAGAUGAGGUAGGCGGAAUUGACGGUGUAGCGGUGAAAUGCUUAGAUAUCGUCAAGAACACCUAUAGCGAAGGCAGCUUACUAGGCUGAAACUGACGCUGAGGCACGAAAAGUGUGGGGAUCAAACAGGAUUAGAUACCCUGGUAG